AUGAAACACUCCUACGGGAGGCAGCAGUAGGGAAUCUUCCGCAAUGGGCGAAAGCCUGACGGAGCAACGCCGCGUGAGUGAAGAAGGAUUUCGGUUCGUAAAGCUCUGUUGUUAGGGAAGAAUGGAUAUGUAGUAACUAUACAUAUAAGAGACGGUACCUAACCAGAAAGCCACGGCUAACUACGUGCCAGCAGCCGCGGUAAUACGUAGGUGGCAAGCGUUGUCCGGAAUUAUUGGGCGUAAAGCGCGCGCAGGUGGUUUAAUAAGUCUGAUGUGAAAGCCCACGGCUCAACCGUGGAGGGUCAUUGGAAACUGUUAAACUUGAGUGCAGGAGAGAAAAGUGGAAUUCCUAGUGUAGCGGUGAAAUGCGUAGAGAUUAGGAGGAACACCAGUGGCGAAGGCGGCUUUUUGGCCUGUAACUGACACUGAGGCGCGAAAGCGUGGGGAGCAAACAGGAUUAGAAACCCUUGUAGUCCGAAGUUC
rnacentral:rRNA from 1 species